rnacentral:ribozyme from 1 species
UUAUUUAAAUAGCAGGCCAUAGCAGAAGCACUCAUUGCAUGGCCCUGUCAGAUUCCAACAAAUCUGUAAAUUCUGCU